rnacentral:rRNA from 1 species
GGCGGGGNGCUAUACAUGCAGUCGAGCGAUGGAUUAAGAGCUUGCUCUUAUGAAGUUAGCGGCGGACGGGUGAGUAACACGUGGGUAACCUGCCCAUAAGACUGGGAUAACUCCGGGAAACCGGGGCUAAUACCGGAUAACAUUUUGAACCGCAUGGUUCGAAAUUGAAAGGCGGCUUCGGCUGUCACUUAUGGAUGGACCCGCGUCGCAUUAGCUAGUUGGUGAGGUAACGGCUCACCAAGGCAACGAUGCGUAGCCGACCUGAGAGGGUGAUCGGCCACACUGGGACUGAGACACGGCCCAGACUCCUACGGGAGGCAGCAGUAGGGAAUCUUCCGCAAUGGACGAAAGUCUGACGGAGCAACGCCGCGUGAGUGAUGAAGGCUUUCGGGUCGUAAAACUCUGUUGUUAGGGAAGAACAAGUGCUAGUUGAAUAAGCUGGCACCUUGACGGUACCUAAGCAGAAAGCCACGGCUAACUACGUGCCAGCAGCCGCGGUAAUACGUAGGUGGCAAGCGUUAUCCGGAAUUAUUGGGCGUAAAGCGCGCGCAGGUGGUUUCUUAAGUCUGAUGUGAAAGCCCACGGCUCAACCGUGGAGGGUCAUUGGAAACUGGGAGACUUGAGUGCAGAAGAGGAAAGUGUAAUUCCAUGUGUACCGGUGAAAUGCGUA